GUCGGUGGGUGCUGAAGUUGGGCGGAUGGAAGAAAAGCAGCGCCGAUGGAGAUUAAACAUCGGGAUGCAGAUUUAUGAUGCGAUUAGACAAGCAUCAACAUUAAAACACAUUUAAAGUUAACACUAUUGGGAACUGACAGUCAGAAAUAAAAGGAUGUUGUUUUUCUGCUCCCCAUUUGCUCAACUCAAACACAAAUGGUCCUCUCACUAAGUCCCUCCUGAGCUCCACUGCAGCCCCAGCGGAGAGAGAGAGAUAAGGACAAGGGAGAGAGAGAGAAAAGAGAGAAGGAGAGAGUAGGAGAACGAGAGACCUAUCCUUCUCAGACUGCGUCUCAGGGAUGGUGAGAACACUGUCCUGUAGUGGCCAGUCUGCUUACCUCUCCUGCACCAACCAACCAGCCAGCCUCUGUAGUCAACCUCUCACAACAAAACCAUGACUUCUCUGUUCAAUCAGAUAGUGGAGACUCUCUAAUUCACAUGCUCCGCAGUGUAAGUGGAGUUGAGAUGAGGAAACGGCAGCAGGCCCACAUCGAAGGCCCCCCCCAGGCGUCCGGACAGCCCAGGCCCAAUACCUGCUGCCUCUGCUGGUGUGGCUGCUGCAAAUGUCUCUGG